GACGAACGCUGGCGGCGUGCUUAACACAUGCAAGUCGAACGAUGAAGCCGCUUCGGUGGUGGAUUAGUGGCGAACGGGUGAGUAACACGUGGGCAAUCUGCCCUGCACUCUGGGACAAGCCCUGGAAACGGGGUCUAAUACCGGAUAUGACCACUGACCGCAUGGUCUGGUGGUGGAAAGCUCCGGCGGUGCAGGAUGAGCCCGCGGCCUAUCAGCUUGUUGGUGGGGUGAUGGCCUACCAAGGCGACGACGGGUAGCCGGCCUGAGAGGGCGACCGGCCACACUGGGACUGAGACACGGCCCAGACUCCUACGGGAGGCAGCAGUGGGGAAUAUUGCACAAUGGGCGAAAGCCUGAUGCAGCGACGCCGCGUGAGGGAUGACGGCCUUCGGGCUGUAAACCUCUUUCAGCAGGGAAGAAGCUUUCGGGUGACGGUACCUGCAGAAGAAGCACCGGCUAACUACGUGCCAGCAGCCGCAGUAAUAC
rnacentral:rRNA from 1 species